GACGAACGCUGGCGGCGUGCCUAACACAUGCAAGUCGAACGGAAAGGCCCUGCUUUUUUGGGGUGCUCGAGUGGCGAACGGGUGAGUAACACGUGAGUAACCUGCCCUUGACUUUGGGAUAACAUCAGGAAACUGGGGUUAAUACCGGAUAGGAGCUCCUGUUGCAUGGUGGGGGUUGGAAAGUUUCGGCGGUCGGGGAUGGACGCGCGGCUUAUCAGCUAGUUGGUGGGGUAGUGGCUUACCAAGGCAUGGACGGGUAGCCGGCCUGAGUGGGUGACCGGCCACAUUGGGACUGAGAUACGGCGCAGACGCCUACGGGAGGCAGCAGUGGGGAGUAUUGCACAAUGGGCGGAAGCCUGAGGCGGCGGCGCCGCGUGCGGGAUGACGGCCUUCGGGUUAUGAACCGCUUUCGCCUGUGACGAAGCGUGCGUGACGGUAAUGGGUGAAGAAGCACCGGCUAACUACGUG
rnacentral:rRNA from 1 species